rnacentral:lncRNA from 1 species
AUGUGAUUAGACGUUGGGAUAGUGCUUGCCCCUGAGGGGUGCGGCUGGAUGGAGGCAUGAGAGGCCUGGAGAGCAUGGUCUAAUAAACAGAGAAGGCUCAGGAGGGUCAGAAACACGGUGCCUCAUUUCUCAGCCUACUUGCCAAGAAUUCCCAAAAAGGAAGCACUGGAGGAUCAUUCCAAGGCUUGAGGUCCAGGACUACCCACUUCCCUUGGAAUGGUGUUGCCAUCACUGUUCUGGCACCGGAGAAAGGAUUCUACAUCGUUAGGAGAAAAGAAAAAGGAGAAUUUGGGCUUGCACUGAGAGGAUUACCUUUGGUGGUCUGGAAGUGGUGAUUGGUGAUAAUGAAACCUACCUUGCUGUUUCAUGUUGAGGAAUCACUGUGAGAAGGUAAGGCCGUAACAAUUUGUCGGAAGGAGAAGGAAGGUCAAAGCUUUGUUGAAGAGCUUUAUGCUAUUGGCCAAACAGAAACAUAGAGCCCUGUGUGUGGUAACUCUCAGGGGACAUGGUUGCCUCGUGGAUAAAAACGUGAGAAUUAGAAGAACAGAAAAAGCCAGCAGGAAAACUCAGAGGAAAGAGUCAGAGAGAACAAGGAUGUUGUCUGUCUCCAGCAUAAUUGUGUAGAGCCUGGGAUUCAUUGCUAGUG